rnacentral:rRNA from 1 species
AUUGAACGCUGGCGGCAGGCUUAACACAUGCAAGUCGAACGGUAGCAGGAGAAAGCUUGCUUUCUUGCUGACGAGUGGCGGACGGGUGAGUAAUGCUUGGGAAUCUGGCUUAUGGAGGGGGAUAACUACGGGAAACUGUAGCUAAUACCGCGUAGAAUCGGAAGAUGAAAGUGCGGGACCGCGAGGCCGCAUGCCAUGAGAUGAGCCCAAGUGGGAUUAGGUAGUUGGUGGGGUAAAGGCCUACCAAGCCUGCGAUCUCUAGCUGGUCUGAGAGGAUGGCCAGCCACACUGGAACUGAGACACGGUCCAGACUCCUACGGGAGGCAGCAGUGGGGAAUAUUGCGCAAUGGGGGGAACCCUGACGCAGCCAUGCCGCGUGAAUGAAGAAGGCCUUCGGGUUGUAAAGUUCUUUCGGUAUUGAGGAAGGGAUGUGUGC